GGACAAGGGGAAUCUGACUGUCUAAUUAAAACAUAGCAUUGCGAUGGUCAGAAAGUGAUGCUGACGCAAUGUGAUUUAUGCCCAGUGCUGUGAAUGUCAAAGUGAAGAAAUUAAAUGACCUAAUUUACAUUCCUUUUAUCUAUUGGACAAUUUUAGUUUCAAAUUUUCGUCAAAUAUGCUAAAUUACAUUUGGACUUUAUAGUGGGCUGCAUAUAGGUAGUAAGUCUCC
rnacentral:ncRNA from 1 species